rnacentral:rRNA from 1 species
GGAAUUUGUGACAUCAAACUAAUCCCACCAAAUAUCGUCUCAUCUCAGAUGCUAAACAGGGUUGGGUAUGGUUAGUACUUGGAUGGGAGACCCCCUGGGAAUACCAAGUGCUGUAUCUG